rnacentral:ncRNA from 1 species
CUGGUUGAUUCUGCCAGUAGUCAUAUGCUUGUCUCAAAGAUUAAGCCAUGCAUGUCUAAGUAUAAGCAAACUAUACGGUGAAACUGCGAAUGGCUCAUUAAAUCAGUUAUCGUUUAUUUGAUAGUACCUUACUACUUGGAUACCCGUGGUAAUUCUAGAGCUAAUACAUGCUAAAAACCUCGACUUCGGAAGGGGUGUAUUUAUUAGAUAAAAAACCAAUGCCCUUCGGGGCUCCUUGGUGAUUCAUAGUAACUUAUCGAAUCGCAUGGCCUUGCGCCGGCGAUGGUUCAUUCAAAUUUCUGCCCUAUCAACUUUCGAUGGUAGGAUAGUGGCCUACCAUGGUGGCAACGGGUAACGGGGAAUUAGGGUUCGAUUCCGGAGAGGGAGCCUGAGAAACGGCUACCACAUCCAAGGAAGGCAGCAGGCGCGCAAAUUACCCAAUCCCGAUACGGGGAGGUAGUGACAAUAAAUACUGAUACAGGGCUCUUUCGGGUCUUGUAAUUGGAAUGAGAACAAUCUAAAUCCCUUAACGAGGAACAAUUGGAGGGCAAGUCUGGUGCCAGCAGCCGCGGUAAUUCCAGCUCCAAUAGCGUAUAUUAAAGUUGUUGCAGUUAAAAAGCUCGUAGUUGAACCUUGGGUCUGGCUGGCCGGUCCGCCUCACCGCGUGCACUGGUCCGGCCGGACCUUUCCUUCUGGGAAGCCCCAUGGCCUUCACUGGCUGUGGGGGGAACCAGGACUUUUACUGUGAAAAAAUUAGAGUGUUCAAAGCAGGCCUUUGCUCGGAUACAUUAGCAUGGAAUAAUAGAAUAGGACGUGUGGUUCUAUUUUGUUGGUUUCUAGGACCGCCGUAAUGAUUAAUAGGGAUGGUCGGGGGCGUCAGUAUUCGGCUGUCAGAGGUGAAAUUCUUGGAUUUGCUGAAGACUAACUACUGCGAAAGCAUUCGCCAAGGAUGUUUUCAUUAAUCAGUGAACGAAAGUUAGGGGAUCGAAGACGAUCAGAUACCGUCGUAGUCUUAACCAUAAACUAUGCCGACUAGGGAUCGGACGGGGUUCAUAUGAUGACCCGUUCGGCACCUUACGAGAAAUCAAAGUUUUUGGGUUCUG